AAUUGCCCUGUAAAUCAUCUUUUAUUGCGUCCACAAAAGAGGAAACAGAACAAAUUUUCAAGUGUUAUUACAAGCAGACAUGCAAUUUCAUUAACCAAAGGAAAAACAAAAACGUUUCAUAACCAUAAUACAAUAUUGAAUAAUUAAAUUACAUAAAAGCUUCAGUUGGAUCUCCCCGAAACAAAACCUUUUAGGGCUAAACUCUAACUUCAUAUGUUUGCCCUACAAAGAGCCAACAAUUAAUUACAGGCAGCUAGAGUUACUGGUGCAUCAGCACUUGAUGCUUCAAGCCUGCAAAUUAUGGGCGACGCCGAACAAAUAUAAGAUGGGUGUUGCAUUAAAAAGUUGAAAGUAAACAAACCCUCGCUCAAAGAGGAUAAAUUAUAAAAUUAAAUGAAUUUGGUACCAGAUCUCACUUGCAAUAAGGCAUUCUAGGAUUAUAAGAACUAAACUGAUGAAUCCAAAUAUACUAGAACAGAGGUGGAUCAAAAGCCAGGAAGCUAGAUAGAACUGUCUGGAACAGUCGUUCUAAAUAUGUCAUAGAAUCGAUUCCCAUCCUCACCAAGGCUUUUGAGGAGUGAGUAAAUUGACAAGAGAGCAAAAUAUGGUAAGG
rnacentral:lncRNA from 1 species